rnacentral:rRNA from 1 species
UAGGGAAUCUUCGGCAAUGGACGAAAGUCUGACCGAGCAACGCCGCGUGAGUGAAGAAGGUUUUCGGAUCGUAAAACUCUGUUGUUAGAGAAGAACAAGGACGUUAGUAACUGAACGUCCCCUGACGGUAUCUAACCAGAAAGCCACGGCUAACUACGUGCCAGCAGCCGCGGUAAUACGUAGGGGGCAAGCGUUGUCCGGAUUUAUUGGGCGUAAAGCGAGCGCAGGCGGUUUCUUAAGUCUGAUGUGAAAGCCCCCGGCUCAACCGGGGAGGGUCAUUGGAAACUGGGCGACUUGAGUGCAGAAGAGGAGAGUGGAAUUCCAUGUGUAGCGGUGAAAUGCGUGGAUAUAUGGAGGAACACCAGUGGCGAAGGCGGCUCUCUGGUCUGUAACUGACGCUGAGGCUCGAAAGCGUGGGGAGCAAACAGG